rnacentral:rRNA from 1 species
GAUGAACGCUGGCGGCGUGCCUAAUACAUGCAAGUCGAGCGAACAGACGAGGAGCUUGCUCCUCUGACGUUAGCGGCGGACGGGUGAGUCACACGUGGAUAACCUACCUAUAAGACUGGGAUAACUUCGGGAAACCGGAGCUAAUACCGGAUAAUAUAUUGAACCGCAUGGUUCAAUAGUGAAAGACGGUUUUGCUGUAACUUCUAGAUGGAUACCGGCCGCAUUAGCUAGUUGGUAAGGUAACGGCUUACCAAGGCAACGAUGCGUAGCCGACCUGAGAGAGUGAUAGGCCGCCUGAGAAGUGAGCCGGGGUCAAGACUCCUACGGGAGGGAGCAGUAGGGAAUGUUACGCAACGGUCGAAAGUCUGACAGAGCAGGGCGACGCGAGUGAUAGAGGUCUUCGGAUCGGAAAACUCUGUUAUUAGGGAAGAACAAAUGUGUAAUUAACUAUGCACGUCUUGACGGUAACUAAUCAGAAAGCCACGGCUAACUACGUG